GGGCCCGCACAAGCGGUGGAGUAUGUGGUUUAAUUCGAUGCAACGCGAAGAACCUUACCAGGGUUUGACAUCCUGCGAAUCUCUUGGAAACGAGAGAGUGCCUUCGGGAACGCAGUGACAGGUGGUGCAUGGCUGUCGUCAGCUCGUGUCGUGAGAUGUUGGGUUAAGUCCCGCAACGAGCGCAACCCACGUCUUUAGUUGCCAGCAUUUAGUUGGGCACUCUAGAGAGACUGCCGGUGAUAAACCGGAGGAAGGUGUGGAUGACGUCAAGUCAUCAUGCCCCUUACAUCCUGGGCUACACACGUACUACAAUGCUACGGACAAAGGGCUGCAAGUUCGCGAGGACAAGCA
rnacentral:rRNA from 1 species